rnacentral:rRNA from 1 species
UACAGAGGUGGCAAGCGUUGUUCGGAAUUACUGGGCGUAAAGGGCGAGUAGGUGGCCAUCUAAGUCAGACGUGAAAUCCCCCGGCUUAACCUGGGAACUGCGUCUGAUACUGGACGGCUAGAGUAUGGGAGAGGGAUGUAGAAUUCCAGGUGUAGCGGUGAAAUGCGUAGAUAUCAGGAGGAACACCAAUAGCGAAGGCAGCUCGCUGGGACGGUACUGACGCUAAGGCGCGAAAGCGUGGGGAGCGAACAGG